rnacentral:rRNA from 1 species
GAUGAACGCUGGCGGCGUGCUUAACACAUGCAAGUCGAACGGAAAGGCUCCUGCUUGCAGGGGUACUCGAGUGGCGAACGGGUGAGUAACACGUGGGUGAUCUGCCCUGCACUUCGGGAUAAGCCUGGGAAACUGGGUCUAAUACCGGAUAGGACCACAUUUUGGAUGGUGUGGUGGAAAGUUUUUCGGUGUGGGAUGAGCUCGCGGCCUAUCAGCUUGUUGGUGGGGUAAUGGCCUACCAAGGCGUCGACGGGUAGCCGGCCUGAGAGGGUGUACGGCCACAUUGGGACUGAGAUACGGCCCAGACUCCUACGGGAGACAGCAGUGGGGAAUAUUGCACAAUGGGCGCAAGCCUGAUGCAGCGACGCCGCGUGGGGGAUGACGGCCUUCGGGUUGUAAACUCCUUUCGCUAGGGACGAAGCGCAAGUGACGGUACCUGGAGAAGAAGCACCGGCUAACUACGUG